AUGCCAGAGCAGUCACCAUCACCAAGUACUAAUCCUUUGCCAUGUCUCGAGAUUUUAUAUAUGAGUGGCUGUAAGAAGCUUCGUUUGCUGCCAGCGAAGUUGGAUAAACUAGAAGGUCUACUUAUUGAGGGUUGCAAUGGGCUGACGUCGCUGGAUUGUUUGGGACAGCUGCCAUUUCUGAAAACACUAGUUCUUCAUAAAUGCAAACACCUACCACUACCAGGUAGUGACGGGAAUUACUCAGCCCUUCGGAGCCUCACCAUUCAAUACUGCCAAGCUAUAAAUAUGAAAACAAUUUAUGGGCGUCUCCAACAACGGCUCCAGAGCCUUGAGUACAAGAAUCUAGCUCACGCUGUUUCAUGCGAUCCAGAUGAAGGGCCUAAACUAUGGGAACCAAAAUCCUGGAAAUAUAUGGUUCCUUCACUGCGCAAGCACGAGUCUGAAUAG
rnacentral:rRNA from 1 species